GCGCAGGUGGCGGAAUUGGUAGACGCCCUGGAUUUAGGUUCCAGUGGGGCAACCCGUGGGGGUUCGAGUCCCCCCCUGCGCA
rnacentral:tRNA from 1 species